CGGUGAGCUCUCGCUGGCCC
rnacentral:ncRNA from 3 species